rnacentral:lncRNA from 1 species
GAGUGCUAGAACUGUAUUUUUAAAAAUGCAUCGUUGCAGAGUAGAUGCAAAAAAACCCUCAAAGGCUGAUAUUACAGGCUUGUGCAGAUGUAUAGAGGCAUGUUAUAGAAAUAUGUAUUAAGAAGUCCCUGGGUCCUAGGAGAAAGUAUCAAGUUGACUCUGGCUAGAAGCAAACAAAUUACCUUCGUGGUCCUGGUCCUUUCGUUCCACACAAUUAUCGACUGAGCUGAAGGAGAUCUCCCUAUAGCUGUGAGUAGUAAUGAGGCUUUAGCAUUUCUUUGCACAUUGCUGCUAGAGAGUGACCUCUCUCUCUAGAAGGCUCACCUUUUCAUUACAAAGGUGUUACUUCUUUUCUGCAUAUUUAAAGCACUGCUUGUGUUACUAUGCAAUCCCUUCACUGUAGAGUAACAGAAAAAUUCAAGCUGACAUAAGUUCCAACAAGCUUCUUUAACCUUGAAAGUGAAAGGUGUCCAGUAACAGGCAGGAGCUUUGAAAGACAGCGGAAGAAUAGAUUCAUUUUGGAUUGUACUCAGAAUGUUGUAUAAAUGAUCCAAGAAACUCAGAGAGAUGCCACAAACACCCCAUUAAGGAGAUACCAGUGACAGAAUGAGAGCUACUGUCCAAAACUGCUUGAGUUUUGACAGCAUUACAUGAUGGCAUCUGAGAUGUAUGUAGAUGUCAGCCAGUGAUAGUGUCCUUUGGUGAAGUCAUUUAUUCACCUGACACUGAUUUUUCCCCUUGUACCAGUGCAUGUACUCUCUUUGUGCGACAGAAUUGAUGUGAUCUUAUGAAAUUCCAAGAAAA